rnacentral:rRNA from 1 species
UGACGAACCAUGAUGUCAUUAAUUUGGUGUCAUGGGGAAUCAGGACUGUUACUUUGAAAAAAUUAGAGCGUUUAAAGCAAGCACACGCUUGAAUACAUUAGCAUGGAAUAAUGAAAUAGGACGUUUGACCCUAUUUUGUUGGUUUCUAGGAUCGACGUASUGAUUAAUAGGGAUAGUUGGGGGCAUUAGUAUUCAAUUGUCAGAGGUGAAAUUCUUGGAUUUAUUGAAGACUAACUACUGCGAAAGCAUUUGCCAAGGAUGUUUUCAUUAAUCAAGAACGAAAGUUAGGGGAUCGAAGACGAUCAGAUACCGUCGUAGUCUUAACCAUAAACUAUGCCGACUAGGGAUCGGAUGAUGUUAAUUUUUUAAUGACUCAUUCGGCGCCUUACG